AACGACUCUCGGCAACGGAUAUCUCGGCUCUCGCAUCGAUGAAGAACGUAGCGAAAUGCGAUACUUGGUGUGAAUUGCAGAAUCCCGUGAACCAUCGAGUCUUUGAACGCAAGUUGCGCCCGAUGCCAUUAGGUUGAGGGCACGCCUGCCUGGGUGUCACGCAUUG
rnacentral:rRNA from 1 species